UAGUUCUUGUUGAAUGUGACCGCUAUGGACAGAACCUUUCUUGAGAUCGAAUUUAGGAACUUCGAGGCCAUCAAAUAAUGGAUUGGAUCCAUCUGAUAUACCAUAAGGUUUGUUUGAAGUAAUUACAGUUAUAUUCAUAUACUUCAUUUUAGCAAAUUCAUUUUCUCCUUUGUUUAAUAUACCAUAAGGUUUGUUUGAAGUAAUUACAGUUAUAUUCAUAUACUUCAUUUUAGCAAAUUCAUUUUCUCCUUUGUUUCUAUUAGAGUUCCUCAUGAUUGAAGCUGCUACACCAACUGUGAAAGAGUCCCACAUAAAAUAACUCGUAUAAAAAUUACUGUCAAACCAAGUAUCGCGUGUCAUUUUCAAGG
rnacentral:lncRNA from 1 species